rnacentral:tRNA from 1 species
GGAAGCGUGCCCGAAUUAUUAAGGAUUACUUUGAUAGAGUAAAAUAUAGGGAAUAACCCCCCUCACUUCCU